GGGGGGGGGGGGGGGUCGCGAGAUGGUUUCCGGAGUAUGUUCAUAAGAAUUUGUAACCAUAACCCCAACUGGUUGAUCAUGAUAAAUGUACUGAAGGGGACCAAGGCAUUGUUACUUUGUAUUUUGGGGAUCAUGGACUGAAAGGUUUGAGAAACCAUGAUUUUUCUAUUUCCAUUUUGGGAGAGUAUAAUGCAUAUAAUGUAUAAAUAAUCCAUAAUCCCUCAGAGUGUGUUUCAUUAUCAUAUUCAACAAUAUACUGAUUACUAUAACAAUACAUUUAAAGCAUCCCCUUUAAUUACAAUUUUUACCUUAUAAUGUUUUACUUUUUAAAUAUUAAGUGGGUAUAACGCUGUUGUCUAAGGAUAUGCAAUGGAAUAUAUUCUGUCAUGUUUAUGAUAGGUCUAUAUGUUAGCGUUAUCUGUUUAAAUCUGCACGUGUUAUUUUAAUGAACUGUAAUAACAUUAACACGAAUACAAAUUUAAAUACUGUUGUUUGUUAAACCGCAACUUAGUAAUAAAUAUAUUACUGCAUUCGAAAUUUCACUUUGGGUUACUUGAAGUUAAUUGUUAAUUGAUUACAUUGUGACAACUUUCCCCACAUCUUAAUGGUCUACUUUGUCACAAAUUUGUAAUGUGUGAAGACAUAAAUUUCACACAAACCGCCCGUCCCCUUCUUUUCGCUGAUAACUAUUCUAUAAUUCUACAUUGUGGGCAGAUGUUGAAAAAAGUCAACAUGCCCAGUGCUCCAAUAUUCCAUGAUGCAUAUUCUUACGUUAAUCUUACAGUGACGGUUAAGGUCAGGUAAAUGCUCUGAAUAGGUGGUGUUAGAAUGUACCUUGUCAUUGGUUUAUUGCAGUUUUCCAUUGAACAAUCAUCGGGACAGAACAAAACAAACACGAGAUAUGGAAAACGCCACACGUUUCCCAGCCCCACCGCAUAGGACACACAGGCGAGGACGAACUGCAUGGGAUUGUCCCACGACGGUCGCGUGUCCCCUUUCUCCAUCACUGCAUCCAGAAGAUUAAACCAAUACAAACCCUCUCAGAUCUCUGCUCAGCUUGCAAUUAACGGAAAUAUGUAUCAAAGAAAUCACUUCGAGGUUUAAGUGUAAACCGGUUGCGUUUCUUUGCUGGCGCUUUCCCGAACUCUUUCAAGAAGCGCUUAUUCUCGCUGAUUAUUAAAGUGACGAGGGAGGGCUGUCCUUUUAAACCAGCACAACUUGCACAACUCAGGUGAAUGUUUAAUUAGCGUUUUUUUUUCUUUUCUUUUCCAACUGAUAAAGUAUUUCCUCCAACACUGUUUUAUGCCACCUUUUUGGCGUAUUUGCGCACAUGUGUGUAUUGUUUCUGAACAUUUGAAUGCACUGUACACACCGAAUCUGCCUGGGAAAUUGCAGUGUGCUGGACACGAGAUGGCGGUAAUAUUAACGGUAAUAAAACGUUUUUAUAAUCAAGUGCAACUAAAGUUUUGUAUGAUUAUUUGUGUAUUCUUUAUCUUUAGUGCGAAUUAUUUUCUUUAUUCAUAAUCAUUUGAAAAUAAACUCGAGGUUUUGAAAACACAUACAGUGUUCAACUAAUAUAAAUUAAUCUUUGCGGACCUUUAACCAUGGGACAUAUUUAAAAUAUAGAAAUUGUAUUAAUAGAUACAGUUACAGUAAAAAUUUCCAGCUCAAAACUGUUAACCUGACUACUUGCGACCUAUAUUUAAUUAUGGUUUUGUGUAAUAUUAAUCUGAUAAAAAAUAUAUCUCAGUACAUUGUGUUGAGACAAUUCCAGAAUGUUCUCCGUGUCUGUUUACGGUCUUGAAGACAUGCUGACGUGUUUUUGUCAGAAUUCUGUAUACUGAUUUAAACUUGAAGCAGAGAAUGGGAUUUAAACCUACCAUCAUCUGUUUGAAAGUUCAGUUCCUCUACUACUUGCAUUCAUUAUGAAACCCCCUUCUGACCGGACAUAUGUCCAAUCUACCAUCAUUUCUUGCAAGAAUAAACGACAAGUUGUCUUUGUUUGUUAGUCUGGCUUAAACCAUGUUCCCACACUACGCCGCGGUCUCAAAAAUAAUCAGCUUUCAUAUUUCAAGAUUAAAUACAAAGGUUGCAUUGCAAAGGUUGUUGCAUGUUGGGUAAUUUAAUACCUUCCCUUGAGGGGACUGUUUUGCUGGGGUGACAGGGCAGAGAGGGGGGCAUGUUUGAAAGCCGGAUGUUUUGUGACAUAUGCAAGUUUUGGCUCGGGAUGGACUAGUAUGAUAUCAGACCUCCUGAUUUUCACUGAAGGCUCCAGCGCAGGUGCUGCAGGGUUGCUCUGGAUGCAGUGCUCAGGAUGCUGGUGCUGUCCCAGUGAGGAGCAGGGACCCCAGUGAAAAACACAGCUGAGUAACUGGAAAAUGCUUUAUUCACACUCCAGCCCACAGGCAGGUCAGCAGAUGAGGCAGCGGCAUCCCAGGAUUCUGCUGGGCAGCGGAAUCUCAUGUUUAUUUACUGAGAUGGUCCCAGGACAAUGGGCCCCAGCUGUGUCAUGUGUGUCCCACUGGGCCGCUAUGAGCGGCGGGUGAGUUCCCGCCAGGAGGGGUCAGAACAUGUGGGGGCAGAUGGCGAGUUUGGUCUACAGGUGGGGGAUGUUUGCUGACUGAUGUGGAUUUGAAAAACUCUACUCCCUGGUUGACCUCCAUUAUCUGCAGGACUCUAGCAGGUUGGACACAUUUGUUUCUCAGUGAAAAACACAUCAUGCUUGUGAAGAUCUGGAAAGAACCAGCCAGACAAUGAACUCCGGCCCAUAUGAAGUUCACUGUGUUUUGUCCAUGUUCCCAUCAAUGCAAUAGGAAACAAAUUCCUCAUAGCCAACACCGAAUGUUUCCAUGAACGUAAAAUGCAGUGAAGACUGUAUUUAUGUACUUAAUGUGUAUGUACCCUUUUGUCGUGAGGGAUUUUCUGUUUAAGUCUUUAAUUAAUUUCAGCUUUGACAUUUAAGUAUUUUAGAAACAGCUAAGAUCACUCUUAUGGAAAUGAACUACAAAUAGCUAAUUUUACCGAUAGAAAUAGUGUGACUAUUUGCAACAAAAUUGGUGUUACGUUACUUACAAUUAAACUGUGGUUCAGUGUGUCACUUCAAAGUUCGAAAUAAACACACAUCACAUA